UACGUAGGGGGCAAGCGUUGUCCGGAAUCAUUGGGCGUAAAGAGCGUGUAGGCGGCCCGGUAAGUCCGCUGUGAAAGUCAAAGGCUCAACCUUUGAAUGUCAGCGGAUACUGCCGGGCUAGAGUCCGGAAGAGGCGAGUGGAAUUCCUGGUGUAGCGGUGGAAUGCGCAGAUAUCAGGAAGAACACCAACGGCGAAGGCAGCUCGCUGGGACGGUACUGACGCUGAGACGCGAAAGCGUGGGGAGCGAACAGG
rnacentral:rRNA from 1 species